AACGAACGCUGGCGGCAUGCCUAACACAUGCAAGUCGAACGAGACCUUCGGGUCUAGUGGCGCACGGGUGCGUAACGCGUGGGAACCUGCCUUUAGGUUCGGAAUAACUCAGAGAAAUUUGAGCUAAUACCGGAUGAUGUCUUCGGACCAAAGAUUUAUCGCCUUUAGAUGGGCCCGCGUUGGAUUAGCUAGUUGGUGGGGUAAAGGCCUACCAAGGCGACGAUCCAUAGCUGGUCUGAGAGGAUGAUCAGCCACACUGGGACUGAGACACGGCCCAGACUCCUACGGGGGGAAGCAGUGGGGAAUAUUGGAAAAUGGGCGAAAGCCUGAUCCAGCAAUGCCGGGUGAGUGAUGAAGGCUUUAGGGUUGUAAAGCUCUUUUCCCCGAGAUUAUAAUGACAGUAUCGGGAAAAAAAGCCCCGGCUAACCCCGU
rnacentral:rRNA from 1 species